AGUCGCAGUGAAAGGCAACGCAAGCAAAGUAAGAAGUCAGAAUUCUGACUUUAUAUCACGCAAUUGCGACUUUAUAUCUCAGAAUUCUGACUUUAUAUCACGCAAUUGCGAGUUUAUAUCUCAGAAUUCUGACUUUAUAACUCGCAAUUGUGAGAUAUGAACUCGCAAUUGCGAGAUAAAAAGUCAGAAUUCUGAGAUAAAAAGUCGCAAUUACUCUUUUUUUUUUUUUUUAUUUAGUGGCGGAAACGGGCUUCCAUACAUUUUGGUUCAUCUGUGUUCUAUUAGUUUGGCACAAUGCGAUGUGCAAUCGAUUACUCUUGUCUGCUUGAACAGUAGAGGGAGAACUCGCGGGGUUUCUUCAUUCCACAUAAAGUUCGCAGUGAGAAAACUUCAGCGAGUUGUGAGAUUUUAUCUUUUCCUUCUUUUUAGAGAUCUACCUUCCUGCAAAGUUCAGCUCCAACCCUGACCAAACACACCUGAACCAACCAAUUAAGAUCUUCAGGAGCACUUGAUAAUUACAGACAGGCAUGACUCAAAUGUCAGCAACGGUGAGAAGAUCGUAUUAUGCCACUAAUCUGACUCUGCUGAGCUGCACGUGGAAUUGCCAAACCACUCUGUGAAUGAGAACAUUGACAUGCUUU